rnacentral:rRNA from 1 species
AACGAACGCUGGCGGCAUGCCUAACACAUGCAAGUCGAACGAGACCUUCGGGUCUAGUGGCGCACGGGUGCGUAACGCGUGGGAAUCUGCCCUUGGGUUCGGAAUAACAGUUAGAAAUGACUGCUAAUACCGGAUGAUGACUUCGGUCCAAAGAUUUAUCGCCCAAGGAUGAGCCCGCGUCGGAUUAGCUAGUUGGUGGGGUAAAGGCCCACCAAGGCGACGAUCCGUAGCUGGUCUGAGAGGAUGAUCAGCCACACUGGGACUGAGACACGGCCCAGACUCCUACGGGAGGCAGCAGUGGGGAAUAUUGGACAAUGGGCGAAAGCCUGAUCCAGCAAUGCCGCGUGAGUGAUGAAGGCCCUAGGGUUGUAAAGCUCUUUUACCCGGGAUGAUAAUGACAGUACCGGGAGAAUAAGCCCCGGCUAACUCCGUGCCAGCAGCCGCUGUAAUAC